CGGAAGGUUGCUGGGGGGUCAUGAAACCCAUUUCGGGACUGUUCACCACCGCCGGCAUCGCCACGGUGGUUGUUUGUCCCUUCUACUUAAUUUGCGUCAGAGGUUUGCUGGUGCAGGUGAGCUUCUUUCAUGGGUGGAGUUGAUUUUAUUAAAUCUAAUUCAAAGUGUUUGUUUAGAGGCACAACAAAUUGGAUGGGGUUUCAGUUUGGUGUGUUUGUGUU
rnacentral:lncRNA from 1 species